GCAUGAAACCUAAAUAUGUAACAUCCAUUUCAGUAAAGAUGCGAUUUUUACGCGAACCCGUUCCCGAAAGUUUGGAACUUUAUUUGUCUAUGUUGGGAAAAAAGUAAAAGAGAGUGUUCUGUUUCCUUCUGGGCCUUGUCUUUGGCGUCCGUGAGACGUGGACAAAGAAUCGCCAUCAGAAAUGAGAACCCUCCACGUAUGCUCUUUCUCCCUCUUCUAUAGCUUUCAUGUGACCUUCUCCUGACGUGUUUCUUCAUUUCUGGGUUUUGGGUUUUCCGGAGAACACGCCAAGGAACAACUUUUAGGGUUUAUCGGGAUCCGAAACGACUUUUUUUUUUGUAGAAGAUGACAAGUGUCAAGAGGAAACUAGACGAUCAGCUGUCGUCUCCUUGGUUUUACACUGUUUGCACCAUGGGAGGAAUGUUCAGUGCCGGAACAACCCAUUUGGCUAUAACUCCUCUUGAUGUUCUCAAAGUCAAUAUGCAGGUGAAUCCAGUGAAGUACAAUAGCAUACCUUCCGGUUUCUCCACUCUGUUAAGAGAACAUGGCCAUUCUUAUCUCUGGAGGGGUUGGUCAGGGAAGCUUUUAGGCUAUGGUGUUCAAGGUGGAUGCAGAUUCGGACUGUAUGAGUACUUCAAGACGCUCUACAGCAAUGUGUUGCCUAAUCAUAACAGAACUUCCAUAUAUUUUCUCAGUAGUGCUUCUGCUCAGAUAUUCGCCGAUAUGGCCUUAUGUCCUUUUGAAGCUAUAAAAGUUAGAGUUCAGACACAGCCCAUGUUCGCAAAAGGGUUGCUUGAUGGCUUUCCAAGAGUAUAUAGAAAUGAAGGUCUUGCUGGCUUCCACAGGGGACUUUUUCCGCUCUGGUGUCGCAAUCUUCCAUUUUCUAUGGUGAUGUUCUCAACGUUUGAGCAGUCAGUUGAGUUUAUAUAUCAAAAAGUUAUCCAGAAAAGGAAGCAAGAUUGCUCUAAAACUCAACAGCUCGGUGUCACAUGUCUUGCUGGUUAUACUGCUGGUGCCGUAGGUACAGUCAUCUCUAACCCUGCAGAUGUUGUUCUUUCGUCUCUAUACAACAACAAAGCCAAGAACGUGUUGCAGGCCGUGAGGAACAUUGGGUUUGUUGGCCUCUUCACCAGAAGUCUUCCUGUUCGGAUCACGAUCGUUGGACCUGUCAUAACCUUGCAAUGGUUCUUUUAUGACGCCAUCAAAGUCUUAAGUGGAUUCCCUACAAGUGGAGGAGUGGAGAAACCGGUGGAUGCAAUUAAAUUAUCAGUGUGAAGCUUAGAAGAGUAGUUUCAUUUCUGUCAACAUCAGAAAACAAGAAGCUAAAACCAUAUAUUUCUAUAAACUAUGAUCUUGUAACUGACCUGGACCAUCUUGUCUGAGAAGAGAAGACUGAGAAUUUAUUGUUCUUGGGUUGCUCAGAAGCUUCCAAGGUACUUGGAUUGAAUCUUACCACCGGUUUUAGAAAAGUAUUU